rnacentral:ribozyme from 1 species
ACAAAAACAAAAACAGCGGAGCCGAUGGAAUUGCAGAAUGGGGAAUUUUAUUUCCCAUCGAACUUGAAUUCGACCGAUCCAGUUCGGAAAAAGAAGCCUGGCACUUUGUUUUUUUCGGCGAAACGUUUUUUUGUUUACUUUAAUUCUGCGUACGAAGUUUUCAUAAAAAAAAACCUUUGGAAUGAAUUAAAUAUCCAAUUUUUGCAUGCUCAUACAAUUGUCACCCGUGCUCAGAAGGAAAAACCGUUCGCCUAUUUUCGGAUGAAAGAUUCGGACAAAAAAAAAUAGGAAUAAAC